GCACCCCCUGCUGCCCAAUGUUAACCUCUAAUCCAAUGUUUCUUAUCUAGCUUCCAAGGAGCGGGAGACACAUCUUUCUACUCUGCCCAGCACUUCUCACCUGAGCAUAUGUACUGGUUUCUAUGGGGGCUGGUCUGGUGGUGGUUUGUCUGUUGGUUCUCCUUCUCCUCAUAUUCCUCAGACAAAGGAACAGAUCAAAGACACAUACAGGUGCGUGCACACUGUCCGCUGGCUAGAGCUACAAAGAGGCCGUCUCUCAUUUCCAUUUCCAACGAGAGCCAGCGAAUCACGGCGACAGUGGGCGGAGCUACUCUCUGAGACAAAAUCUCCCAGCAACAGUUGAGAUGGGUUCAACUUUAUGCUAAUUUCCAGCUAGCGGGCAGUGACGGAGUUUGGCGACUACCAAUGGCAGGGCAGAUGUUCUCUUACCCUUCUCUUACUUACCUGCUAGCUAGAAACUCACAAGC
ensembl:lncRNA